rnacentral:rRNA from 1 species
GACGAACGCUGGCGGCGUGCCUAAUACAUGCAAGUAGAACGCUGAAGGAGGAGCUUGCUUCUCCGGAUGAGUUGCGAACGGGUGAGUAACGCGUAGGUAACCUGCCUGGUAGCGGGGGAUAACUAUUGGAAACGAUAGCUAAUACCGCAUAACAGUAGAUAUUGCAUGAUAUCUGCUUGAAAGGUGCAAUUGCAUCACUACCAGAUGGACCUGCGUUGUAUUAGCUAGUUGGUGAGGUAACGGCUCACCAAGGCGACGAUACAUAGCCGACCUGAGAGGGUGAUCGGCCACACUGGGACUGAGACACGGCCCAGACUCCUACGGGAGGCAGCAGUAGGGAAUCUUCGGCAAUGGACGGAAGUCUGACCGAGCAACGCCGCGUGAGUGAAGAAGGUUUUCGGAUCGUAAAGCUCUGUUGUAAGAGAAGAACGAGUGUGAGAGUGGAAAGUUCACACUGUGACGGUAUCUUACCAGAAAGGGACGGCUAACUACGUGCCAGCAGCCGCGGUAAUACGUAGGUCCCGAGCGU